rnacentral:rRNA from 1 species
GGAAGUGGGGAUGACGUCAAGUCCGCAUGCUCCUUACGUCUAGGGCUACACACGUCCUACAAUGGGGUCGACAGUGGGAUGCAAAGCCGCGGAGGUGGAGCCAAUCCCCAAACGGCCUCUCAGUUCGGAUAGUAGUCUGCAACUCGACUACUUGAAGUCGGAAUCGCUAGUAAUGGCGGAUCAGCAUGCCGCCGUGAAUACGUUCCCGGGUCUU